UACGUAGGGUGCAAGCGUUGUCCGGAAUUAUUGGGCGUAAAGAUCUCGUAGGCUGUCUGUUGCGUCGGCUGUGAAAACCCGGGGCUCAACUCCGGGCCUGCAGCCGAUACGGGCAGACUAGAGUUCGGCAGGGGAGACUGGAAUUCCUGGUGUAGCGGUGAAAUGCGCAGAUAUCAGGAGGAACACCGGUGGCGAAGGCGGGUCUCUGGGCCGUAACUGACGCUGAGGAGCGAAAGCGUGGGGAGCGAACAGG
rnacentral:rRNA from 1 species